rnacentral:rRNA from 1 species
GACGAACCGUACGAACGUUAUUCGGAAUCACUGGGCUUAAAGGGUGCGUAGGCGGCGCGGAAAGUAGGGUGUGAAAUCCCUCGGCUCAACCGAGGAACUGCGCUCUAAACUACCGUGCUCGAGGGAGAUAGAGGUGAGCGGAACUUAGGGUGGAGCGGUGAAAUGCGUUGAUAUCCUAAGGAACACCGGUGGCGAAAGCGGCUCACUGGAUCUCUUCUGACGCUGAGGCACGAAAGCUAGGGGAGCGAAAGGG